UUCGCCCUUAGAGUUUGAUCCUGGCUCAGGACGAACGCUGGCGGCGCGCCUAACACAUGCAAGUCGAACGAGCGAGAGAGAGCUUGCUUUCUCGAGCGAGUGGCGAACGGGUGAGUAACGCGUGAGGAACCUGCCUCAAAGAGGGGGACAACAGUUGGAAACGGCUGCUAAUACCGCAUAAGCCCACGACCCGGCAUCGGGUAGAGGGAAAAGGAGCAAUCCGCUUUGAGAUGGCCUCGCGUCCGAUUAGCUAGUUGGUGAGGUAAUGGCCCACCAAGGCAACGAUCGGUAGCCGGACUGAGAGGUUGAACGGCCACAUUGGGACUGAGACACGGCCCAGACUCCUACGGGAGGCAGCAGUGGGGAAUAUUGCACAAUGGGGGAAACCCUGAUGCAGCGACGCCGCGUGGAGGAAGAAGGUCUUCGGAUUGUAAACUCCUGUUGUUGGGGAAGAUAAUGACGGUACCCAACAAGGAAGUGACGGCUAACUACGUGCCAGCAGCCGCGGUAAAACGUAGGUCACAAGCGUUGUCCGGAAUUACUGGGUGUAAAGGGAGCGCAGGCGGGUGAUCAAGUUGGAAGUGAAAUCCAUGGGCUCAACCCAUGAACUGCUUUCAAAACUGAUUGUCUUGAGUAGUGCAGAGGUAGGCGGGAAUUCCCGGUGUAGGCGGUGGAAUGGGUAGAUAUCGGGAGGAAACACCCAGUGGGGAAGGCGGCCUUACUGGGCACCAACUGACGCUGAGGCUCGAAAGUGUGGGUAGCAAACAGGAUUAGAUACCCUGGUAGUCCACACCGUAAACGAUGAUUACUAGGUGUUGGAGGAUUGACCCCUUCAGUGCCGCAGUUAACACAAUAAGUAAUCCACCUGGGGAGUACGACCGCAAGGUUGAAACUCAAAGGAAUUGACGGGGGCCCGCACAAGCAGUGGAGUAUGUGGUUUAAUUCGACGCAACGCGAAGAACCUUACCAAGUCUUGACAUCCUGCGACGAACAUAGAAAUAUGUUUUUCCUUCGGGACGCAGAGACAGGUGGUGCAUGGUUGUCGUCAGCUCGUGUCGUGAGAUGUUGGGUUAAGUCCCGCAACGAGCGCAACCCUUAUGGUCAGUUACUACGCAAGAGGACUCUGGCCAGACUGCCGUUGACAAAACGGAGGAAGGUGGGGAUGACGUCAAAUCAUCAUGCCCUUUAUGACUUGGGCUACACACGUACUACAAUGGCGUUAAACAAAGAGAAGCAAGACCGCGAGGUGGAGCAAAACUCAGAAACAACGUCCCAGUUCGGACUGCAGGCUGCAACUCGCCUGCACGAAGUCGGAAUUGCUAGUAAUCGCAGAUCAGCAUGCUGCGGUGAAUACGUUCCCGGGCCUUGCACACACCGCCCGUCA
rnacentral:rRNA from 1 species